rnacentral:misc_RNA from 1 species
GGGCUUGAGGUGUCACUGUUAGUAUCGAUAAAUCAGCUACAGGUCACUGAAGACUCAACUCUUGUGUCAAUUCAACGAUUUGACAUGAUUUACUUGUGGGUUCUCAGAAUCUAGUAAAGAGAAAUGGUCUAGCAUGUUGAUUUGAGUUGAAAAGGCAAAUAGGAAAGGAAGACGUUGUUGUGUUCUGAUGAUGAGUCGAGAGAUGAAGAAAGGGAAACAGGAUAUGAGUUCUGAUGCCGCGGAGAAAGUUAUGGUGGCUGUUAAGGCAUCAAAGGAAAUACCAAAAACAGCUCUUGUAUGGUCUUUGACUCAUGUUGUUCAGCC